UUUUACGUUUUUUUUUUUCCCCACCGGCUGGUUGGACUAUAGCGCCUUCAACCUUCUCGCGAGAUUACAUAGCGCACUGCACUGCUUUUCUGUUUAAUCUUUCUCUUUAUCAGGAAAUUAAAUGACCUUUCCUAUCUUCUUCAGCAUAUUGAAAAUAAUGAAGUUUUUCCCACUGUUUAUUUCCUAUUAGUUCCGACUUUCUUUUACGUGCCAUUUUAAGGUUAAGUUAGGGAUGGUCUGCGAUGGCUUACACUGUUUACAGUGCUGGGUUGCGUUCAGAAACUUCGCCUAGGUGCAUCUAGAUGUCAUUUUAUCCUUGUUUAACAUUCGGUGAAUAACAAGGAUAAACUCUGCGGUGGCACUAUCUUGCUGAUUUCAAUCCGGAGAAAGGAGGCUAUUUCAUUUUGCACGGAGACUUGUCAGCUUAUGUGUAUCGCUUAGGCGUAGCAAUUACGUUGGGCUAACACGUGUUUUCGAAAUGACAUCUUCUUCUUAUUCGAGGUGAGGAAUUGGACGCCGGAGUAUUACGUCGCAAAUCAGUCGAACUGCGAGCGGAUUCUAGAUUCUAGAAGGUGAGAUGCACUGACGGAUACACCUUUAUUGAAUAACGUUUAACUGCAUGAUAUCAGAGACAAAGAGUUGGACGAAGAUUUCGAGGAAUGAUUCAGGAUAUAUGCAAUCCUGAGUAUUAUUUUAAGGAGUACGAGAUGAAGAACACUGAGGGGGGGGGGGAGUGACGUUAGAUGUGGAAUGUACACGGAUGCAGCUCGUUGCCUGGGCUGCACGAGAAAAUUUUGAUGCGCUCCAAGAGGAAUAGAAAUGCCGAGAAACAAACUUACGAUAUUGUGAUCUCUGUACCUGGACCAAAUGGCUGGGCAAGGGAAAGGAAUACGAGCGCACGGACGCCUGACACCAACAUGCAGUAACAGUGUCAACAAAAGGAGUCCCUGGAUGAUGACAACUUAGAGGAAAUGGAUUGUUUGGACCAGUUACAAACAAAAAGAGAGUCUCGGCGGUUAACAAUGAUGCAAAUGCGAGCGGUGCUCAUCGCAGUGCGAAAGUUCAAUGUAUAUUGUCGGAAGAUCGUAUAUUGAAUUUUCCGAUCCCGAUCGAUGGAGGAAAGGCUUGCAUGGUGAAAGUAAAUUAUUUACAACGAGACUGUCUUAAAAUUGAGCCAGAUUAUUGAUGGUAAUAGAAUUGAUAUCGUUGGAUCCAAUAUUAAAUGCAAUUCAUGAUUCAGUCGAAAUGGACGAGGUUGAAAUAUGUACUUAUAAUUCACCGGCUUCUUUGGUGCCUCGAUUAUACACGCAAUAAAAGUGAUUGAGCUUACAAAAAACCGCCAAUUGUAAGUGCUCCGGAAAUUAUAUAUCUAAAGCACAGCUCAUCAGAAGUGAUUAUUUGCACAUAGUAUUGAGUCAGUUGCUUUACGGAUACACUUUGGCUGCGGAUUACUUGAAAUGCCUGUUCUCUAUGAUAUAUGCGAGGAGAAAUACUUGUGCCUUGAUGCAUUUCCGUUGAACGUAACGUAAUUUCCCAGCGAGUGAACUUCCAGAGCCGCAAGCCUUUUCCGAAGAAGUUUUAUGACUUCUUGACAUUAUUUGUAAGGAAAAGCCACUAUUUGUGGAGGUGACUUUGGAAAAUCUGAAUGAACUAGCUUUAAUCCCGAAAUUGUCCAGAACGAUUUUGUUUCGGAGAUUCGCAAAAGGCACAACAAUAUACACGCGGACGGUCUACACGCAUUAAUGGUUUCCGCUAGAUUGAUGUUCUUAUCUUACGGAAAAACUCGACGCUAGACAAAGAAUUCUGGGAGAAAGUUGUGCAGCUGGAAGAUGAAAGAAGUAAUGGGCUGUCACUUCCGCACCGCGACAGGUAAUCGUUCGGGCCCCAGGAUAGAAUCACAAAUAUACCGAGUGUACAUCAUACGAUACAAUUUAUUUUCUUUGCACUUUUAUAAUUAAAUAAUUAUCUAUAAUAUUAUAUAACAAUUAUUAUGAGUUGAAUCCGAAACUUCCGUUCUAUUUUACAGAGUAAUUAACAAUGUAAAAAUGUAUAUAUUAUAAAAUAGUAUAUAAUUUUUAGUUUAGGAUUCAACUUGCAUUUACAGAGAUAAAGAUCAUAGAUAAUUGUACUUUAGUAAAUAAACUUUUUACUAAUAAGUAUAA